GACGAACGCUGGCGGCGUGCGUAACACAUGCAAGUCGAACGAGAGAGUGAGAGAGCUUGCUUUUCUUACGAUCGAGUGGCAAACGGGUGAGUAACGCAUAAACAACCUGCCCCGCAGAUGGGGACAACAGCUGGAAACGGCUGCUAAUACCGAAUACGGUCCUCUUAGCGCAUGGUAAGAGGAAGAAAGGGUGGCCUCUGGAACAAGCUACCGCUGUGGGAGGGGUUUGCGUCUGAUUAGCUGGUUGGAGGGGUAACGGCCCACCAAGGCGACGAUCAGUAGCCGGUCUGAGAGGAUGAACGGCCACAUUGGAACUGAGACACGGUCCAGACUCCUACGGGAGGCAGCAGUGGGGAAUCUUCCGCAAUGGGCGAAAGCCUGACGGAGCAACGCCGCGUGAGUGAAGACGGCCUUCGGGUUGUAAAGCUCUGUUAUAGGGGACGAACGGCCGGGUAGCGAAUAGGUACCCCGGCAUGACGGUACCGUAAGAGAAAGCCACGCUAACUAC
rnacentral:rRNA from 1 species